AGACAUCGAUGAGAGAGAGAGAGUGGUGGCGUGUGGCGUGCAGCGGCAGAAGACGACGACGCCACCACCUGCGGCGACGGUGGCGGUGAUGACCGAUGAUGAUGGUGGUUAUCUCCUUUUUAUGUUUUGUUUUCGAGUUGCCCUGGUUUGGGUUCAACAGGUUCGAGUUCAAGACUUGGUUCGUUUUGUUUUUUUUUUAGUUUACGAGUCAACUCAGUGAUGCGGGUCAACUCAUUCUUCGGUUAACACUCGGCUUCGGGUCAACAUUAGUCAACAGUAGACUCACUCGGACAGUUUUGAUACUCGGGUCAACCGGUCAGGUUCAAGUGCGGGUUUCGGGUCGCGGUUUAGCUCGGGUAACUUUGGUGAGUUCUGGUUUCUAAGCUUCAACAAAACUUUAGAUCAUCUCGGGUUUCGGUUCAUGUUGUUUCAGUCUCAGGUUACAAAGAAACAAGAGGUUAGGCUUUGUUUCGGGUUUCGCGGUACAAUCGGGUCCUGAUCAACUCAGCUCAUGUUCAGGUCAAACCCGGUUGACUCGGUUAACCCCCGAGUCAACUCGGCUCAACACCGGAUCGACUCAGUCAACGUGGUCAAUGUUUCUACGCGAGAUUGGAAUGUCAUAGAAUGCUCGCUAGCUAAUUCACGUUCAUGGAAUGACAUUACGGAAUCACACUAAGCUAGCUUUGCACGGGAAUGUCAAGGUUGCAUUUUCAAAAACUAUGGAACGGUUGGAAUAGGAGAACCCAUGGGAAU